AUGAGAAAAAUCAAGACUCAGAAACAAUAAAAGUCACAGAGAUGAAAUUGACAGAGCCUGGAUUUCGGGUUAUGAUUCUGUUUGGUUUCUUUGAUGCUGUAUUAGACCUGAGCUCUGAUUGAAAAUUCUUCCAUGCUCACUACAUUCCAAAACUUUAUCUCCAAUAUGAAUUUCCAGAUGCCUCACAAGGUCUGAGCUCCAUGUGAAGGCUUUCCCAUGCUUGUCACGUUCACAGGGCUUUCCUCCACUAUGAAUUCUAUGAUGUUGAAUAAGGUCUGAUUACAA